GGCGCGUAGGCGGUCUCGUAAGUCAGGUGUGAAAGCCCGGGGCUUAACCCCGGAAGUGCAUUUGAAACUACGAGACUUGAGUAUGGGAGAGGGAAGUGGAAUUCCUGGUGUAGAGGUGAAAUUCGUAGAUAUCAGGAGGAACACCGGUGGCGAAGGCGACUUCCUGGACCAAUACUGACGCUGAGGCGCGAAGGCGUGGGGAGCAAACA
rnacentral:rRNA from 1 species